CAACUAGGUUUUUCUAGUUAGUGUUAACGCUGUAAUAUACCUAAGUGACUUGUGAAAGGGUUGGGAAACCUGUUGAAUCUCCUUCGUGCUAGAGAUUGGGGCUUGUAACUGUUCCCGAUGAACGAGGAAUUCCCAGUAAGCGCGAGUUAUAUCUAGCGUUGAUUACGUCCCUG
rfam:Biomphalaria glabrata isolate BB02 linkage group LG17 unlocalized genomic scaffold LG17_random_Scaffold259, whole genome shotgun sequence.